rnacentral:rRNA from 1 species
CAGUGGGGAAUAUUGCACAAUGGGCGAAAGCCUGAUGCAGCAACGCCGCGUGAGUGAUGACGGUCUUCGGAUUGUAAAGCUCUGUCUUUGGGGACGAUAAUGACGGUACCCAAGGAGGAAGCCACGGCUAACUACGUGCCAGCAGCCGCGGUAAUACGUAGGUGGCAAGCGUUGUCCGGAUUUACUGGGCGUAAAGGGUGCGUAGGCGGACCUUUAAGUGAGAUGUGAAAUCCCCGAGCUUAACUUGGGGGCUGCAUUUCAAACUGGAGGUCUAGAGUGCAGGAGAGGAGAGUGGAAUUCCUAGUGUAGCGGUGAAAUGCGUAGAGAUUAGGAAGAACACCAGUGGCGAAGGCGACUCUCUGGACUGUAACUGACGCUGAGGCACGAAAGCGUGGGGAGCAAACAG